ACGAACGCUGGCGGCUGCUUAACACAUGCAAGUCGAACGGAGUGGCGAACGGGUGAGUAACGCGUGAGCAACCUGCCUCUGACAGUGGGAUAGCCUCGGGAAACCGGGAUUAAUACCGCAUAGUCAUAGAUGGGCUCGCGUCUGAUUAGCUUGUUGGUGAGAUAACAGCCCACCAAGGCGACGACCCGUAGCCGGUCAGAGAGGCAGGACGGCGACAUUGAAACUGAGACACGGGCCAAACUCCUACGGGAGGCAGCAGUGGGGAAUAUUGCACAGUGGGGGAAACCCUGAUGCAGCGACGCCGCGUGAACGAAGAAGGUAUUCAUAUAGUAGAGUUCUGUCCUAUGGGAAGCGGUACCAUAGAAGAAAGCUCCGGCUAAAUACGUGCCAGCCGCCGCGGUAAUAG
rnacentral:rRNA from 1 species